rnacentral:lncRNA from 1 species
GCGAGUAGGUGUAAAAGAUGGAGUAAAAUACUCUCUCAAUUAUCAUGGUGGGUCAGUCUCUUAUUUUGGAUCCAUGAUUUUGAUUUGAUUUAUUCGAAUCAUUCUUUCUAACUCUAAGUCUAAUGGGUGUAAAUCAGAUUGUAAUGAUCGAAUCCUAGCAUGCACCCAAAAGAUCUCAUUGAGUUUUAAUUUCAACAAGUUUGUUUUUUUUUUGAAAGAA